UCCCUAGUGGCCUAGUUGGUUUAAGGCCUCGUGCUUAUAGCUCUUACUAUACCAGAGUCACGCGAAAAUCGCGAGUUCGAUCCUCGCCUAGGGAA